rnacentral:tRNA from 1 species
GGUUCCAUAGUGUAAUGGCUAUCACUCCAGACUCUGACACAAUUAUUUUAGGUUCCGCAUAAUAAUCAAACACGUAGAACCGAAAAUAACCUUGAAGAUAUCUGGCAAUCUGGGUUCGAAUCCCGGUGGGACCU